rnacentral:misc_RNA from 1 species
AACGCACGAGACCUGCGGACCUGCGGAGGGAUCAUUAACGAGUUCAAAAGUCGGUCGACCGUGCUGGCGGAGACGCAAGUGCACGUCGGUCGCGAACCAUCCACACACCCGUGAACCUAUGGCCUGCGGAGUCCCUCGCGGACUCGGGGCACCAAAUUUUACACACUCUGUUCGUAAAGGAAUGUCUAUAAAACGCGUAAAGCAAACAACUUUUAACAAUGGAUCUCUAGAUCGGAAGAG